CAGAUUGAACGCUGGCGGCAGGCCUAAUACAUGCAAGUCGAACGGUAACAUAGGAAAAGCUUGCUUUCCUGAUGACGAGUGGCGGACGGGUGAGUAAAGUUGGGAAGCUACCUGAUAGAGGGGGACAACAGUUGGAAACGACUGCUAAUACCGCAUACAGCCUGAGGGUGAAAGCAGCAAUGCGCUAUCAGAUGCGCCCAAAUGGGAUUAGCUAGUAGGUGAGGUAAAGGCUCACCUAGGCGACGAUCCCUAGCUGGUCUGAGAGGAUGAUCAGCCACAUUGGGACUGAGACACGGCCCAGACUCCUACGGGAGGCAGCAGUAGGGAAUAUUGCACAAUGGAGGAAACUCUGAUGCCAGCCAUGCCGCGUGUGUGAAGAAGGCCUUCGGGUUGUAAAGCACUUUCGGAAAGGGGAGGAGAAUGACGUUACCCUCAGAAGAAGCACCGGCCUAACUCCGUGCCAGCAGCGGC
rnacentral:rRNA from 1 species